UAGCCAAGUGGUUAAGGCUAUGGAUCGCCAAUCCGGAGAUGGCGGGUUCGAUUCCUGU
rnacentral:tRNA from 1 species